UUUAUAGCUCUAACUUCAAUGUAUUCUUUAUACUUAUUAACUCUUGAACAUUUUUUUAACUUCUAUAGUUAAAUGGUGGGACCAAUAUGGUGUAGAGACUCCGGAGCUACAGGCUUUCGCCAUCAAAGUUCUAAGUUUAACUUGUAGCUCAUCUGGAUGUGAAAGGAACUGGAGUGUUUUUGAACACAUUCAUACAAAGAAAAGGAAUCGACUAACCUUGAAGCGCCUCCAUAAUCUAGUGUUCAUAAAAUACAAUAGAGCAUUGAGACGACGCUACAACCACCGCAAUAUAAUUGAUCCAAUUCUUUUGGACAAUAUUGAUGAGGCUAAUGAGUGGCUAACCGGAGUCCCCGAAAAUUGUGAAGGUGAAGAAGUAUUUGAAGGCGACUCCGAUUUCACUUGGGGUGAUGUUGCGGUUGGUAGUGGAGUUGGGGAAGAUCCUUAUGGUUUAAGGAGAUAUACUCCAAGUUCAAGCUCUAUUAGGAAGGGAAAAAGUGUGGCUA